rnacentral:rRNA from 1 species
GAUGAACGCUGGCGGCGUGCUUAACACAUGCAAGUCGAACGGAAAGGCCCAAGCUUGGUUGGGUACUCGAGUGGCGAACGGGUGAGUAACACGUGGGUGAUCUGCCCUGCACUUCGGGAUAAGCCUAGGAAACUGGGUCUAAUACCGGAUAGGACGAUGGUUUGGAUGCUAUUGGGGAGAGUGUUUUCGGGGUGGGGUGAGCACGCGGCGUAUCUGCUUGUGGGUGGGGUAAUGGCCUACCACGGCGUCGUCGGGUGUACGGCCUGAGAGGGUGUGCGGGGACAUUGUGGCUGAGAUACGGCGCAGAGACCUACGGGGGGGAGCGGUGGGGAAUAUUGCGCAAUAGGCGCAAGACUGAUGCGGAGAAGCGGUGUGGGGGAUAUCAGGGUUCUGGUUGUAAACACCUCUCGCGCGUGUCACGGCGUUUUUGUGACGGUACUUGGUGAAGAAGCACCGGCUAACUACGUG